rnacentral:rRNA from 1 species
AUGCGUCCGAUCCAGUUGGAUCGUGCGGCGCUCGUGGUCCCACAUGUGAACUCGCGUCAACUGGCUGUCCCUCGUGUGGUACACGUCUUCCAUGAGACCCACCCACCGCCCAGCCUCCUCUUAUCCUUUCUUCUCGGUCUAGUCCUUUCAUACGAUUUCCUCUUUUCCCCAUUCCCAUCCACCAGUGGAUCUCAUCCAGCGGAGGAGCUCCACUCCGGCCGCAGCCACCAUGUCACAGGACAUGGCAGUAGGGAGCACGUGCUGGAACGCAACAUCGCGACUGGCCGCGUCAGCGCAACCUCCGCCGAUGGUGUGGCAGCAAGCGCUAGGGGUGUAGUAGCACGGCGACCGGCCGCGUCAGUGCAACCUCCGCCGGGGAUGCGGCAGCAGGGGCGGCGACGUCUGCAACGGUUACCGGCGCUGCCGGCGAUGCGACGCGGGAGGUCGGCGACGGCCGGCAGUGCUGCGACGCAAUGCUCCGUCCAUGGAUGUCGGCGCUGCGAUGUGGCCCUCGUCGGCAACUACCAGUGUUACGAACUUACGAUCCAUCACCCACCGGAGGGGUGUGUCAAGCCGGAGAGGUGGUGCGCGACGCGGUGUUCCAACACCAUCGCAGCUCCGACGGUGUCGCGGCCGCUACAACGCAACUCCAACAGUGUCGACGACCUCUGCAUUGCAGCUCCGGCGGCGUCGCGGCCUCUGCAUCGCAACUCCAACGAUAUCGAACGAGCAGUUUAG